UACGGAGGGAGCUAGCGUUGUUCGGAAUUACUGGGCGUAAAGAGUACGUAGGCGGUGAUUCAAGUCAGAGGUGAAAGCCUGGAGCUCAACUCCAGAACUGCCUUUGAAACUAGAUCGCUAGAAUCAUGGAGAGGUUAGUGGAAUUCCGAGUGUAGAGGUGAAAUUCGUAGAUAUUCGGAAGAACACCAGUGGCGAAGGCGACUAACUGGACAUGUAUUGACGCUGAGGUACGAAAGCGUGGGGAGCAAACAGG
rnacentral:ncRNA from 3 species